GGAGCAGCCGGCCGCACAGGCGGAGAUCAGCCUCGCAGAGGUGCACAACCAGCCUGGCAAACCCGCAGCGGCUCGGCGGACACUCGCCCGGCUGAAACGCUCGUCAAAGCUGUCCACGCCGCCACUUGAAGCCCCGCCCUCUGGUGUGUCUGGCAGCUUUUCAAGAUGAGACGCAGUUUGUGCCCUUUUGACAGAAGUGUUGCAGGCGCCGGGCUGCACCCGUCAGGACAGGACACUAGACAGGUGGCGCUGUUGCAAUGAGGCUGUAUUUCUUCUGACGGAGUCAGAAUGGAGAGCAACCAGCCAGUCUUACCCACAUGGCAUAUUUAACUCAAGGAUCGGAUAUUUUAAAAAAUAAAUGCCUUAACCAAAUGAAGAAAUGAUUUUCACCCGCAAUAGGGCAAACCAACUUCAUGUGUCUCCUGGUCAGAUGCACUGGGACAUGUUACCUUCUGUCGUAUUUUGUCGAAAAUGUAUAACCUGAGUCAUAAUUCUGAGGAAACAUCAGACAAACAUAAAGCAAUAGACAUUGUCUUAAAUAACUGGCCAGGACUCCUCAAAAAAUGUCAAAGUCAGGAAGAGAGGGAACUGUUAAGGUAUUGUUCCGGACUAAAUGACACUACAAGACAAAAUAAGCAAAUGUCAUGCAUGAUCCCUGACUGGAUCUUGGACAGAAAAACAAAGCUGCCAUACAGGACGCUGCCGAUCACUGGGACAGCUGGCGAAAUGUGAAUGUGGAUUGGAGAUUAGAUAAUAUCAGUGUCAGAUUUCCCAAUUCUUAUCAUCCUACAGUGGUUAUGGAAGAGAACAAAUGCCCCAAAGUAUCUGGAGGGAAAAGUUUUAGGAUCAUGUCUUCAACUUAUUUUCAAAUGUUUGGGAAAAAAGAUGCUUUUGUGUAUUUUGUGUAUAUUGAAAUGUA